GUCUCUGUGGAUCAGUGUAGAUCACCCCAGUAUCGCAUAUCUAUGGGAGACGUGGGUUCGAAUCCCACCAGAGGCA